rnacentral:lncRNA from 1 species
AUUGUUGACAAAAAUUUCAUUUGAGUAAGCCGGGUUGGAGGUGCCACAUUGCUUAAGCC